AUUAAAUAUUGAAAAAGGAAACUUUUUAACUUCUUCCUGUGGCUACAGUGCACGUUCGAAAUAUGCGACUUUAUAUACCGAACAGACUUAAUAAAUUUUUUGAGCUUCAACAAAGUUGCUUAUCGAAAUAAUUAUGAACGGAACGAAUUUCUAAAGCGUUUAGAAUCGCGGUCGUAUUCAACUUUUGAAACUAUAAAUAAUAGUAGUUAAAUGACGUGUCCUGGAACUUUUUCGUUUUUCUGUUGACACUAGAAUAUUCACCGGCUUUGGUGAUUAAAAUAGUACUGAUAAAGUUUAAACGCAACAUUUUUCAAAAAUGAUUACCGACAUCCAACUUGCCAUUUUUGCCAAUGUGCUUGGAGUUACUCUCUUUCUUCUGGUAGUCAUCUACCAUUAUGUGUCUGUGAGCAAUCCUAAAAAAACAGAUUGAAAGAACAUUGGAUGAUGGUUUCUGGCCAGAAGCUUAAAGCUUUCCCGAAACUAAAUGAUGUGGGAAAGGAACAAGUUGUCAAUUUUUUCAAACAUCUUAAUCAAUGAAGUUUGUGUUUUGUAAAUAAAAUAUAUUUUUCAGUUU